GAUGAACGCUGGCGGCGUGCCUAAUACAUGCAAGUCGAGCGAACAGAUGAGGAGCUUGCUCCUCUGCCGUUAGCGGCGGACGGGUGAGUAACACGUGGAUAACCUACCUAUAAGACUGGGAUAACUUCGUGAAACCGGAGCUAAUACCGGAUCAUAUAUUGAACCGCAUGGUUCAAUAGUGAAAGACGGUUUUGCUGUCACUUAUAGAUGGAUCCGCGCCGCAUUAGCUAGUUGGUAAGGUAACGGCUUACCAAGGCGACGAUGCGUAGCCGACCUGAGAGGGUGAUCGGCCACACUGGAACUGAGACACGGUCCAGACUCCUACGGGAGGCAGCAGUAGGGAAUCUUCCGCAAUGGGCGAAAGCCUGACGGAGCAACGCCGCGUGAGUGAUGAAGGUCUUCGGAUCGUAAAACUCUGUUAUUAGGGAAGAACAAAUGUGUAAGUAACUAUGCACGUCUUGACGGUACCUAAUCAGAAAGCCACGGCUAACUACGUG
rnacentral:rRNA from 1 species